UUACGGCCACAUCACGUUGUAAUACCGGUUCCUGUACGAUCACCGAAGUUAAGCAACGUCGAGCCUGGUCAGUACCUAGAAGGAUGACCGUUUAGGAAUACCAGGUGCUGUAAG